rnacentral:rRNA from 1 species
AAUCAACGCUGGCGGCGUGCCUAACACAUGCAAGUCGAACGCGAAAGCCCCGCAAGGGGCGAGUAGAGUGGCAAACGGGUGAGUAACGCGUGGGUGACCUGCCUUCGAGUGGGGGAUAACGUCUCGAAAGGGACGCUAAUACCGCAUGACAUCUUGCCUUUGAAGAGGUGAUGAUCAAAGCCGGGGUCGCAAGACCUGGCGCUUGAAGAGGGGCCCGCGUCCGAUUAGCUAGUUGGUGAGGUAACGGCCCACCAAGGCGACGAUCGGUAUCCGGCCUAAGAGGGCGGACGGACACACUGGGACUGAGACACGGCCCAGACUCCUACGGGAGGCAGCAGUGGGGAAUUGUUCGCAAUGGGCGCAAGCCUGACGACGCAACGCCGCGUGGAGGAUGAAGAUCUUCGGGUCGUAAACUCCUGUCGAGCGGGACGAAAGAUCCGCGACCGAAUACGUCGCGG